UGGUCGGAUGGGUUGGAAGAAGGGAAGGGUCCUGAUCAAAUAUAUAGGCCAAUGUUUUAAAAUUCAAAAUAAUUUUCAAGUUUCAGAGCCAAUCUUUAAAAUUUAGUCCAAUCAACCUAUUGGUUUCUAGGAUCCUGGCUAGGGGAUUUGAUGCAGAUAUUGUUCCUAUAGAGAGUCAAAAUUUUUAGUUAGAUUUUGUAAUUA
rnacentral:lncRNA from 1 species